AAACAGCAGGGCAGAAGUCAAGAUGGCGGCAUAAGCAGACUCGGAACUCACCUCCUCCUGUGGACACAGCCAAUCUACAACUACUCGCGGAAAAAUUACCCCUGAGACAGAACUGAAAACUGGAUAAGAGGAACUCCUGCAACAACGGACAAUCCUAACUGAGGUAGAAGAGGCAGAGACUCCCUUCUGGAAAGGAAAAACGCCGCCUUCACAAGCCGCCAGCUUCAUGGCCGCCGGGAGCAGCUCACAGGGAGAAGCUGGAGGCUGAGGCUUUCCACCCAAUUGGAUGGUGCUGUGCCAGAGAGGAGAGACUCUGAAAGUCUCUUUGUGCUGGACAUUGAGGCAGAGACAGAUUAUAAACCUCCAGAUUCCAAAGAUUUCAAGCAAAUGAGUCAUGCUGGGGGUGCCUUAAGAAGGGGCAGGAGAUGGCUACUCGAUGGCAGGAAGGGGAUAUUCAACGAGUUUGAAGUACUGUGUCUUACAGGUCGAAGCUCCCUGGAGCAACUGUUGAGAUCAGACUCCAGAGUAGAAG